GACGAACCGUCCAAACGUUAUUCGGUAUCACUGGGCUUAAAGGGUGCGUAGGCGGUCUGGUAAGUUGGGUGUGAAAUCCCUCGGCUCAACCGAGGAAGUGCGCCCGAUACUGCCGGACUUGAGGGAGGCAGAGGUAAGCGGAACUUGCGGUGGAGCGGUGAAAUGCAUUGAUAUCGCAGGGAACACCAGCGGCGAAGGCGGCUUACUGGGCCUUUUCUGACGCUGAGGCACGAAAGCUAGGGGAGCGAACGGG
rnacentral:rRNA from 1 species